rnacentral:rRNA from 1 species
UGGGGAAUAUUGCACAAUGGGCGAAAGCCUGAUGCAGCAACGCCGCGUGAGUGAUGAAGGCCUUCGGGUUGUAAAGCUCUGUCUUUUGGGACGAUAAUGACGGUACCAAAGGAGGAAGCCACGGCUAACUACGUGCCAGCAGCCGCGGUAAUACGUAGGUGGCAAGCGUUGUCCGGAUUUACUGGGCGUAAAGGAUGCGUAGGCGGAUUUUUAAGUGAGAUGUGAAAUACCCGGGCUUAACUUGGGUGCUGCAUUUCAAACUGGGAAUCUAGAGUGCAGGAGAGGAGAAUGGAAUUCCUAGUGUAGCGGUGAAAUGCGUAGAGAUUAGGAAGAACACCAGUGGCGAAGGCGAUUCUCUGGACCGUAACUGACGCUGAGGCAUGAAAGCGUGGGUAGCAAACAGGAUUAGAUACCCUGGUAGUCCACGCCGUAAACGAUGAGUACUAGGUGUAGGAGGUAUCGACCCCUUCUGUGCCGCAGUUAACACAAUAAGUACUCCGCCUGGGAAGUACGAUCGCAAGAUUAAAACUCAAAGGAAUUGACGGGGUCAUAGCUG